rnacentral:rRNA from 1 species
GACGAACGCUGGCGGCGCGCCUAAUACAUGCAAGUCGAGCGAGAAGACGUAGCAAUACGUUUGUAAAGCGGCGAACGGGUGAGGAAUACAUGGGUAACCUACCCUCGAGUGGGGAAUAACUAGCCGAAAGGUUAGCUAAUACCGCGUACGCUCCUUGGACUUCGGUUCAUGGAGGAAAGCGAUACCGUGGGUAUCGCGCUCUUGGAUGGGCUCAUGUCCUAUCAGCUUGUGGUGAGGUAACGGCUCACCAAGGCUUCAACGGGUAGCUGGUCUGAGAGGACGAUCAGCCACACUGGCACUGCGACACGGGCCAGACUCCUACGGGAGGCAGCAGUAAGGAAUAUUGCGCAAUGGGCGAAAGCCUGACGCAGCGACGCCGCGUGGGGGA